UUUUUUUUGUAAUACAUCCUUCGUGCAUGACUAACAUUUUUUCCAUUAAUAGGAUCAUCGAUUUGGCAUAGGAAAGGACUUUAAUGAGGGUCAGAGAGUUGAUAAUAAUAUCAAGGUAUGUCACAACAUUUCUAACUGUCUUCAUGUCAGAGAAUGUAUGCUAACCAUUUUUUAUUUUUAGAAAACCUCAAAGAAUGUUGCUGCUAGUACAAAUGAAGUGCCAAAGUGUGUCUACAGCAACCCCAGCAAGAACCUUGCUGGGGAAUUUGAGGUAUGAAUUCCAUCUUGGUACAAUGUUUUUUUGUCAACCAUACUUACUACUAACUUGUUCAUCUGUACAGAAGGUAAAGAAAACACCUGUGGACCCCCACAAAGGAAAAACAGACAGAGAUGACGCUGUGGACUCAUUUGGUAAGCGUUUUAGGAGUGACAGCAAGAACUUACCCUCCCAAUCUGAGGUCAGCAUCACAUGUCUGAACCAUAUUGCUAGCAAAGGUUUUAUUUCAACCAUAUUCUUAACUUGAUGACAAUAUUGCAGAAGGUGAAGAAAACAUAUGCACACCCCCAGAAGUCAAAGACUGAAAGAGACGAUAGCAAGAACUUACCCUCCGAAUCUGAGGUCAGCAUCACAUGUCUGAACCAAAUAACUAACUAACGUUUUUCUCAACCCAUAUUCCUAACCUUAAGUCAAAUAUCGCAGAAGGUCAAGCCUACGUCCAUGGAUGACAUGGACUCCAUAGGGAGGCGUGUCAGACAUGACGGCCGGAAGAAAAAGAAGUCCUCACUCCUUCAGAGCGAGGAAUACGAAUUUUACACCCCCGCGCUCAGAAAGAAAAGAGCUCUAUCUCAACAGACACAUGACAGUAACGAUGUUAUGUACACACAGAAUAAGAAGAUGAAUCCCGGGAAAAGCAACAGCCAGCAGCUAAAACAGCUCAAGGAGGACUUGAUCAAUUUUCAGGCAGAAACAGAUCGAGUUACACAGAAUAUAGUAGCAGAUUAUGUAAACAGUACUCCAGAGACCGCCAAGUUGGUGAAGAUCAAGGACAUACUUCUAACGCAGAAGUAUCUUAAAUGCCUUACAACACCAGAUCAUUCCUCCUUUGCAGCUUGGGUGGAUGAUGAUGUAAGUGCUAACGCAAUAUGGUAUCUUUGAUUAUUUAUAUGUUUUCCAAUUGAACUAAUAUCUUCUUUCUUAGGUACUCGAUGCGGCAAUCGAACUCCUACGUCUGGACGGACUAGAAGGUGUACGAGAUCAUGGUACCGUGUAUGUCGAAAGGUCGACCAUCGUCAACAUCCUGAAGAGAGAUGGCACAGUCCCGAAUUGUACCUUGGAUGUUUUAAGCGGCAAAUCAGGCACUAAAUGGGGAGAUAACUACCUUAAACAUGACAUGAUUUUCCUACCUUCAAAUAUUCCCAAGAACCACUGGUUCCUGGCUGUUGUCAACUCCCAAAAGAGGGAGAUUCAAAUUCUGGACUCACUCCAAUCACGCAACAACCGGAAAGAAGUAAUUGCUGCGCUUCUUGGAAUGGAAACACAUAUUGAUAUAGCAGUGAUGGAAAAUGGAAUGCAAGGAAGUAGAUGGCCGGACACUCAAGUGGCUUCGUGGCCUAUCAAAGACUAUGAAGUGCCACAACAAACAGAUGGCUGUUCCUGUGCUCUCUGGGUGUUGAAAUUCAUCCAAUAUUGGACCGGAGUGAGAUUGUCGGCAAUAUUCAACCAGGUAACUACAUCUUCCCUAUCUAACUUAACUUUCACAUAUACAAAGGGUCCUAACGUCUACCUCCUAUGCAGGAUGACAUAAGAUAGUUCAGAAGAUGGCUUGCUGCUGCCUUGAUCAAUUCACCUCACAAUGAGUUGAAAGUUCGGAAGGCCAUACCAGCAGUUGAUUUAGAAGAUGAUUUAGAAGACCUCGACCUCGGAGGUGACGACGGACACAACGACAGCGGAGAUGUCUCAGGAGACGAUGGUUCCGCACUAUAGUUGUGUGCUGCUGGACUUAGGGUAGAGU